ACUGAGCAGGACAUAAACCCCAACAAGCAGGCCCCUUCAUGUUACACACCAGCAACCUGGGUCCCUCUGCCACAUCUCCAAAGCACCAUUUCUUACAUUGUGAAGCUGGACAUGCGUCCCCUUCCCCCACUUGUUUCCUUACAAAGCCCCAUACCUGAGCCGUGCCUCCCAAGGCUCUCCCAGCCCAGGCUGACCUCUUCCACUGACCUCCUCACACUCUUGCCCCAAGCCUGGCCUCUUUUCUCCCUUGCAUGUGUCCACCAAGGGGCCCUCUGCUGUUUCCUGGGUGGAUUCACCACGUGCCUGACUUUGCAGAAGGAUGUAGCCAGUAACUGAGAGUGUUGGCUGCUAAAGGGCCCAUAGCCACUACUUUCUCUGGAGAAUCAUCCUGAGACAACCGAGUGAAUUCCAUGGCAGAUGACCCUGGGCCAAACUCACUGUCUGUCUGGGGCUGUGAAAAAUCAAUCCUGUCCCUUGAAGUGCGGGUAUCCAAGGUGAAGUUUAUUCUCUGCGUACCACCACUGUGCCACCUUGGGACCUAGCUAAGCUGAACCCAUCUCACUUCACUUUAACCUGUUUCUCUCCCUCUGCUUUGACUUUCUCCUGGUCCUUCGUUGCCUCUAGGGCACUCCCUUCUAAGCUUCUAAUCCUCUUUAUGUAAAGGACAGCUUCCUCAGGAGACCUUGCCAGACCCUAGGCUGGGACAGUCUGAUCCUAACUGCUCUGUGUUCUACGUAAGAAUCAGAACAUCUGCAGCUCACUGGUGAUCAGUGUCAUCACUCAUGAGGCACAGGUGGCCCUCACGGGUUUGCAAACUCCAUGAAGCCAAAGGCAUUCUAGUUCUCCCAGCAUCCUCCUAGCUCCUAGGGGUGCUUGACACUUAGGAGAUAGGCAGUAAACACUAGGUGGGAGUGCACAGGGAGGAAGAGAGGGAAGUCCUUGCUUUGCCUUUCGUAUUGGGUCCAGGGCUCCAUGUUUAUCUCUAUUUUGGCAGGCACUGAGGCUGGCUGUGGCCUUCGGGUUGGCAGGCAGAAGCAUUUGUGCACAGGCUCAUGGCACAACUCCACCCCCAAGCAGCCUGUGUAAAACCACACAGUAGAGGUGGCGCAGGAUCCCCAUGUACACUGCUGCUUUCUCUCUGCUCACUAGGAAGCAGGAGGCUUGGCUGCUCCACCGGUGACUGAAAACCCUGGCAGCUGCACAGCCAACUGCAUGUCACCCUAUGUCACCUCAGCAUUUCCAAAGAGCUGCCCACUAACUGGCCUCAGCCGCCAAGUCCCAGGUUCUCUCCCAGCAGAGAUGGCAGGCUAGCACCAAGAAGACCCUGACAUACCUAUCCUGUCAAAUGGGACACCUAUUUAGUUAUUUCCUGGGCUCUGGAAAAUGCUCUCUUUCUCGCUCUCUGGGAGAUAGGACUCCUUCACAAAAGUAUGCCGAAGAACAGGCCUUCCCCACCCAUCCUGCCCCCUCACGUCUGGAAAGGGUCAAGGACGCUCACUUCUCUUUUGGCCCACUCUCAUGCUGAUCCCGCACAAGUGUGUCACCUCAGAUGAACAAACGGAGGUCAGACCGAGGAGAGGAGACACAGCUAGAAACAGGAACUCCCAAGCUAUGGAGCUCCUCACCUGCCUUCCUGCCACAAGAGCAAGUUUUAAGAAGCAAGGCAGAGUUCUGCAGAAGGUCCAGGGUCCUUGUCCUGAAGGUUCCCAUCCUCAGGAUGUUGAAAGCCUAAGGGAGCAGAGACAGUGUGCCAGAGGCAGCUGGGGAGGAUCAUUCUCAAACGGAGAAGCUACUAACCCUGCAGUACAAAUGAGGCCAGCGGCUCCUCUUCCUCCGUCAUAGGGGAGGGGAAGAGGAAAGGGAGGAAGAGAGACCUCUAAGAAGUCCUAGGAGAGUGGUGGUUGAUUAGCUGUGCGUGCUCCCAGAGAAUGGAACCAUCCCUACCCAUCCCUACCCAUCCCUACCCAUUCCUACCCAUCCCUACCCAUCCCUACUCUCAGAAAGCAUGCAGAACACAGGGCAGGCAGGAAAGCCCAAUCCAGCCUGGAGGAAGAGGCAUACCACAGGCAUCACAAAGAAAGAACUGUGCCCAACUCAGGAGCUGCCCUGAGCUCUCUUCACAGGGUCCUGAGGGCUUGAUUUCACUGUAGCAGAAUCCCCUCGGCCACACAACGCCCAGUUUUCCAACCUGUGACUUCAACUUCAGAGAUUCCAAAGAUGCUGUGGUUAUAAAGUACCAGACUCAAACCUGGCUUUUUGUGACAAUGUAGCUGCCUUCACUAGGGCUCCGAGCAUUGACUUCAGCAUUGACUUCACUAGAGCUCGGAGCAUCUUCUUCCCUGGCUCAGUCCCAGACCCUCUUCCUCUUGGCAACAAGACUGGACGUAGUACCAAGAUUGGAUCAGUCUCCUGUUCCCUGACCUAUAAACCAAGUCUCAAGUGAGCCAACCAGAGUCCUUCCCUGGGAUUUUUUUUCUGGGUGAAUCUAUAAUCACUUCCCCAACUGCUAGGACAUACCAAGAUCGUAGAGACAGUUGGUGACCAUGUUUCCAACUAUACGUGGUAGGGGUGGGUGGAAGCUCGAGAAGGUGGGGACAAUAGCACCAAAUUCUUGUCACCCUCCCCUUUCAGAUAAUAAAUGCCCUUUUUA